CAGUAGCCACGGUAAUACGUAGGUCCCGAGCGUCGUCCGGAUUUAUUGGGCGUAAAGCGAGCGCAGGCGGUUAGAUAAGUCUGAAGUUAAAGGCUGUGGCUUAACCAUAGUACGCUUUGGAAACUGUUUAACUUGAGUGCAAGAGGGGAGAGUGGAACUCCAUGUGUAGCGGUGAAAUGCGUAGAUAUAUGGAGGAACACCGGUGGCGAAAGCGGCUCUCUGGCUUGUAACUGACGCUGAGGCUCGAAAGCGUGGGGAGCAAACAGGAUUAGAUACCCCCGUAGUCCCUGUCUCUUAUACA
rnacentral:rRNA from 1 species